rnacentral:rRNA from 1 species
CCCUUAGACGUUCUGGGCCGCACGCGCGCUACACUGACCAGUGCAACAAGCAUCCGUCCUUGGCCGACAGGCUCGGGCAAUCUUUGAACGCCGGUCGUGAUGGGGAUAGACUUUUGCAAUUUUUGGUCUUCAACGAGGAAUUCCUAGUAAACGCAAGUCAUCAACUUGCAUUGAUUACGUCCCUGCCCUUUGUACACACCGCCCGUCGCACCUACCGAUUGAAUGGUCCGGUGAAGCCUCCGGAUUGGCGCGCACCUCGGUGCCGCCGAGAAGUUGGCUAAACCUUACCAUUUAGAGGAAGGUGAAGUCGUAACA